rnacentral:rRNA from 1 species
AGAGUUUGAUUCUGGCUCAGGAUGAACGCUAGCGACAGGCUUAACACAUGCAAGUCGAGGGCAGCAUAGAAGUAGCAAUACGUUGGUGGCGACCGGCGCACGGGUGAGUAACGCGUAUGCAACCUACCUAUCAGAGGGGAAUAACCCGGCGAAAGUCGGACUAAUACCGCAUAAAACAGGGGCACCGCAUGGUGAUAUUUGUUAAAGAAAUUCGCUGAUAGAUGGGCAUGCGUUCCAUUAGGUAGUUGGUGAGGUAACGGCUCACCAAGCCGACGAUGGAUAGGGGAACUGAGAGGUUGGUCCCCCACACUGGUACUGAGACACGGACCAGACUCCUACGGGAGGCAGCAGUGAGGAAUAUUGGUCAAUGGGCGGGAGCCUGAACCAGCCAAGGCGCGUGAAGGAAAAGAAGGAUCUAUGGUUCGUAAACUUCUUUUGCAGGGGAAUAAAGUGCAGGACGUGUCCUGUUUUGUAUGUACCCUGAGAAUAAGGAUCGGCUAACUCCGUGCCAGCAGCAGC